GCCCGGCUCAAAGAUGGCCGCCGGAGGUAUCGGCGUUCAAGGUGAAGGGUGAGAGGUGAGGAGUCAGAGCGGCGGCGGCCUACGGGAAGAUGGCAGAGAGCGAGCGGCCGGCGGGCAAGCCAGAGGAGAUGGCUCCUCCCAUCCAGCAGAGCUUCAUGAUCCCCAGAAAGGAGAUAAACAUGGUUUCUGACAUGGGCAAGUGGAAGCGCUCUCAGGCAUAUGCAGAUUACAUGGGCUUCAUCCUCACCCUAAACGAAGGUGUGAAGGGCAGGAAACUGACCUGUGAAUACAACGUUUCAGAGCCAAUUGAAAAGCUGGUGGCUCUUCUGAACACCCUUGACAGAUGGAUCGAUGAAACCCCCCCAGUGGAUCAACCCUCUCGCUUUGGGAACAAAGCCUUCAGGACUUGGUACGCCAAACUAGACCAGGAAGCAGAAAACUUGGUGGCAGCAGUGAUCCCUAAACAUUUGGCUGAUGCUGCACCAGAAGUGGCCGUGUACCUGAAAGAGUCUGUGGGGAACUCUACCCGCAUUGAUUAUGGCACAGGACAUGAAGCUGCGUUUGCAGCCUUUCUCUGCUGCCUCUGCAAAAUUGGUGUUCUCAGAGUGGAUGACCAGAUGGCCAUUGUCUUUAAAGUAUUUAACAGGUACCUAGAAGUGAUGCGAAAACUUCAGAAGACCUACAGGAUGGAACCUGCUGGCAGCCAGGGCGUCUGGGGCUUGGAUGACUUCCAGUUUCUACCUUUCAUAUGGGGCAGUUCCCAGCUGAUAGACCAUCCAAAUCUGGAGCCUCGGCACUUCGUUGAUGAGAAGGUGGUAAAUGAAAACCAUAAGGACUUCAUGUUCCUGGAGUGCAUCCUCUUCAUUACAGAGCUUACUCAGAAUCAUGGAGCUUUUCUAUCGAGUUCCUCAGUGCCACCUGGUGGCAGGGAAGCCUCCUCUCCCAUGUGAGCCACUGAGAGAUUGCCACAACCUGGAUCAUCAAACGUGUAAUAUUUGCAAGCUGUUUUUGUGCAAGCACUGGUCCUUUUUCCCCCCCUUUUUCUUUUUUUGUUGAAAAUUUUGCUUUUUAAAAUGGGAUUUUUUCCCCUUCAAAUGCCCAGAAAGUUUGUUCCUGCCGCCAGGGGGGGCUGGGGCAGCCCUGAGUGCUGCUUCCUCACCAGAAUCAACAACAAAACCAAAAUAGCAGGGGGAAAAAAGGUACGAGGGCUUAAUGAUUUUAAUAAAUGAAUGACACGAUUUCUUUCUGAGCUAUUCAUCUGGAAACAGCUCUCCCGUAAAGGUGUAGAGCAAAUAACAAACACUGCAGCCGUUCCUAUAGUAGGUCUGUUAGGUUUUACCAACCUGAGAACAGGUUUUGUUUCAAGCAGUGACCAGGCUGCGUUGUUUUCUUUCAACCAACAGAAUAUUCUCUUGAGCAGAUAUUUUUUUUCUCAGCCCCUGGGUGACGUUUCAGGGAUGUGAAUGUACACCGUGGUGGUGUUUGCCACGUGUAUAUUUAAACCUCAGGCUCUUAAAGUAACAGGGAGAUGGUGGCCAGUUUGAACCCACUCUGCCCUGCAGUGCCACCCCACCGCAUGUGGAUAUGGCAGCAAGCCUUAUGCAAGCUGGCCUGUUGUUGGCUAACCUGAGGGGUGUUUUUAAUGCUUAGUCCUUGAAUGGGAGGCUUAUGGAGGUGGCUGGAGCUCAAGCCAUCCCCUGCUGUCACCUUGUUCUGCUAAGGCAGGCUGCUGGGAGAUGCCCAAGGGGUGUGAGGUUGGUUUGGGACCAUCCCAGCGUGUGAUGGAGCCACCAGUGCUGCAGCCAUGGUGGGAUCCUGCCUGCUUCUGUGCUCUGAAUGUGAGGAAGGAUUCUGGGGGUUGCAAAAAGAGACGCUGCCCUUACACAGCAUGGGACAAAACCCAGAGCAGAGGCUGCCAGCUCUUGACCCUGUUGAAACCAAAGGCUGCUGGAGGCAUUGCCUCCCCUGGGCACCUUCCUGCAGGAGACGUGCAGAGGUGCGAGGCGGCCAGGGCCGUGUUGCUUUAAGAGCCCAGGGCAGGCAGCAAGAAUUUCAUCUUCAAUCUGGCUUCUAAAUUUGGAGGUUUGGGAAGGGAGGGCUCGGGUUUCGGCUGGAAGGGAAGGAGCUGACAGGAAAGCACAGCUUCAGCCGUCCCCCUCCCCCAGUUACUGACAGAGGAACCAUUUACAAAAGGCUGAUUCUCUUGGGAACUGAGAGGCAGGAACGCAGCGUCUAUGAAGACAGGCCCCUUUGCUGAGCAUUCCAACCAGCUCUGGAACAUCAGUGCUGUACCCUCCUGGUCUAAGGUCAACCAGGGUCUCAUCCGUAUGUACAAGGCAGAGUGCUUGGAGAAGUUCCCUGUGAUCCAGCACUUUAAGUUCGGCAGCCUGCUCCCCAUCCAGCCUGUGACGUCCUAAGGAGGCCACGGGAGGAGCCGAAGCAGCGGAGGUGUAGCGUGGCAGCACUCUUCCUCCUCCCCUCACUCCCUUCUCAUCACCUCACCCGUUCCACAGCCCACCCAUUCCUGCACAUCCUCAUCGGCAACCGCAGACCCGGAGCACUCGGCCUUGCACAGGAGAUGGGAACUGAGCAGCUCCUCCUGCAAGUCCCUGCCACGAGGAUGUCUCACAAGUGACUGAGGGGCUGCGCUCUCCGCUGCCGUGUGCGGAUCUGGGUGUGUGAAGGGGGUUCACCAGGGGCUGCCUGGCAGCAAAACCCUCUGCUUUCCUUCCCAGGAGGAAGGGGGUGUGGAGGGGAGGAAGGCACGUGUGUAUGCGCUGGGCACCGCUAACAGCAAUUUCCCUUUUGGAAUUUCAUUGAAGUUUCCUGUUGCUGUUUGGUUUGGAAACCAUUGCAGUGGGUGAGGUGUGAGCCUGCACGUGUCUGUGGGCAGGGCACCUUUGCUUUCAGAGGGGAUUCUUAAAUGGGAAAGGGGAACUGCAGGGAGCCCGGGGUACCGCCUCUCCCUUAUCCUGACUAAGGAAAGCCACCUCCCUCCUUCCACCAUCUUUUCUGCAAGGUUCCCUGGGUCUUCCUUUCACAACACCACCUCUUGUGUGACGUGAGGAGGCUGUGAGGUCUGAGCAGGUUUUAGAGAUGAGAGCCCUUGCUCUGUUGGAACGGCUGUGCAACAACUGCUGAAUGAUACCUGCUCAGGCUCCCUGCCCUCUAUCGCUAAUGGGCACAAAGCAUCGUAUGUUCACACACACAUGCCUUGCUGCUUAGGGAUCACCCAGGAGCAGCCUGCCCUCUCUGCUCUCCUCUCCUCUGUGCUUUGCUGCCUGGGGCCUGAGCUGGCCUCAAUGGCACGAGGUGGCCAUGGUUGCUACUGCUUGGUCAUAAAUUAUGACGACAGCCUCAUAGCAAUGGAUUUCCCCAUAGAGCAGCAUGAUCCCCAGUCCUUUUAGGGAGGCAUCUCCAGAGCAAAGGCAGCAUGGGGGUAAGCAUGCAGCUUAACAUGCACUUCUGUACCUGUGCUGGAAACAAAAAGCAUAAGUAGCCCAGGACAGCAGGUUUUAACUGGAGAAAGCUCUCUUCCCUCUGUCCUUCCCUGCUGGUGCUGUUGUGCAUCCCAGACAGCAGGACCACGCUAACAGUGCCAGCAGCAGCUUGGAGGUGGGGGGAUGAAUGGAGCCCUGGUCCCAAUCAGCACCAGCAUCACUCAGAGGGCAGAAAUACCUGGAGCUUUGUGUCCAUGUGUCUUGGCUGAGGUGGCCUAUAAAAUUGGGGAGGGGAGAUCUUAGGGUUCCCAGGCUGGGUAUGGCAGGGGUUUACCUAUGGCUGGGGGUUACCUAUGGCUGGGGUUAGCUCUGGCUGGGGCUGGAGGCAGCUGUAUCCCUUCUCUGGUUCCUUGCCUUUUGCUGGUGCACUGCUAAAUAAGAGGCAGCAAAGAGCAGGUGGCUGCAGAGCUUUCUGCCAUUGUCCUGAGCUGGGUGGGACAGGGCAUGGAUCUGAGCUGCUUCAGCCAACUAUAGAUAUGCGUUUUAAAUAAUGGAACACUCAAGUCUUGUUCUAAUGUUAAUGAGAUGUGUUUGUCGUGUUGGCUUUACAAGAUGGAAUAGGGCUGGAGCCCUGUGCUUGCUGGGAGCUUCUGGUGGAGCAGGGUGGGAGCCAGCACCUGGCGCAGACCUCAGGCUUCUCCUCCUGCAUCCCCUCUCCUUGUUCUGUGGCUUCUGGCAAGUGUCACCACGCUGUAACUUGGUUGCAUGGCAUCUGCCUGGUGAGGGCUGAGCUAAAGCCUGUGGCUUCCCAAACCUACCCAAGGGCUGGGGAUGCAUCUCUCCCAGUAAUACUAUGGAAAUGGGGCUUCCAUGUAAAAAAGGAUGGGUGGAAAUGACAUCCACACCGUAAAUACUGGGAGGGACACCCAGAAUGUGAAAUGCCCCAGGUUGGGACCCACUGAGGAGGUGGAAGAGGCUCACGGGUUGCUCUUGCCUGUAUCUGUGCUUCUGUCCUGCUGGGCCUUUCUGGACUUGGAGCAGCUCGUUCUUGUCUUACACCGUGUGGGAUGUAUCUCUGUAGUCUGGCACUUGGCUGUUGCCUUCCUCUGGCUCCCAGCAGUGAGCACACGGGCUCUCAGGGCUCAGCCCCCCUCCCACAGCUCCGCCAUCAGCAGCACCCAGGGCUGGAGCAGCUCUUCCUUCCUCCCCCCCCCCCCCCCAGCAUUGUGGUUUUAAUUAAAGUCUCUGUGUUUUGCACCAGUGCCUAUGUUGGUUUCUCCUGCGUGAGGUUUGUUCCCUCUCUGUGGCAUUGGGAGGAUGCUUUGUGGAGCCACUCACCUGGUUGUUGGUCGCACGCUUUGCAUCAAAGCCAACUGGCUGUUGACCUGCAUGAAGCACAUCCAGGCUGUGCACCCCUGUCAGCCUCUUUCCUUCUGUGUUAUGCUGUGUUUGAUGGCUUUAUUUAACCACCCUGCUCCCUCUGCCCCUCCCUCCCGGCCAGGGUUUGGCACCUGGGUGAUGUGCCACCAAAUUCCUCUUGUAGAUCAGAGACUUUCAUGACCAAAAGCUGUUUGAGCCACGUUUCUGAGGCUGAGAACUGGAACCCUUUUACCUUCAGCUGUUUUUCCUGUCCUGCCGUAGGUGCUGACUCAGCACUUCCAGCAUCACUUUAACUCAGCGGCUUUGUUGGACGUCUGUAGCAAAUUAUACAUGGAGCAGUGGGAGCUGCCAUAGCUGUGCUUAGGUUUCUUAUCUUCUUGUGCAUGGAUGGGAGUGGGGGAAUGUCAUCUGGGGUCAAACAUCUUUACAUUCAUCUUGGGGUGAGCACAGCGGACGGAGCGCUGCUUUCUCCCCAUUGAGCAAGCUGGGAUUUUCAAUGCACUUCUCAGAGCUGGGCUGUGCUGGGCUGCAGUGUCUGGGCUCAAGGGCUGCUCUUUGCUGCUGCUUUGUGUUCUGCAGGUCACCAUCAGCCUUCCCCACCUCCGUCUUUGCAGCCCUCUUUUAUAAAUGCUGGUGACAGCCGGUAAUAAAUGAAGUACGAGUUGAGAGGAGCAGCCUCACGUGUUGGUGGUAGGAAUAAAAACCAGAGCUGUGUUGUGGCA